rnacentral:pre_miRNA from 9 species
UCUCAUCUGGACCUUGCUGGAAAGGGGCUUCUCAGCUCCUCAGGCUGACGGGGGGGUCCAGGGGCCCUCUCCCCAUGAGAAGCCGGGACAGGACUCCUG